rnacentral:rRNA from 1 species
AUUGAACGCUGGCGGCAGGCCUAACACAUGCAAGUCGAGCGAGCGGCGGACGGGUGAGUAAUGUCUGGGAAACUGCCUGAUGGAGGGGGCUAACUCCUGGAAACGGUAGCUAAUACCGCAUACCAUCAGAUGUGCCCAGAUGGGAUUAGCUAGUAGGUGGGGUAACGGCUCACCUAGGCGACGAUCCCUAGAUGGUCUGCGAGAAUGACCAGCCAGCCUGGAACUGAGACACGGUCCAGACUCCUACGUGAGUCAGCAGUGGGGAAUAUUGCACAAUGGGCGCAAGCCUGAUGCAGCCAUGCCGCGUGUGUGAAGAAGGCCUUCGGGUUGUAAAGCAAGUGCAGCGGGGAGGCGUUACCCGCAGAAGAAGCACCGGCUAACUCCGUGCCAGCAGCCGCGGUAAUAC